UGCAGUCGAACGGAGAAUUAGCAAUAGUUCUUAGUGGCGAACGGGUGAGUAACGCGUGGGUGACCUGCCCCGAAGUGCGGGAUAACAGCUCGAAAGGGCUGCUAAUACCGCAUGGAGUGCGUGCGCUUAGAAAGCACGCACCAAAGGCGAAGGCCGCUUUGGGAGGGGCCUGCGUCCCAUCAGCUGGUCGGUAAGGUAACGGCUUACCAAGGCGACGACGGGUAGGGGGCCUGAGAGGGUGACCCCCCACACUGGCACUGAAACACGGGCCAGACACCUACGGGUGGCAGCAGUAGGGAAUAUUGCACAAUGGGCGCAAGCCUGAUGCAGCAACGCCGCGUGCGCGAUGAAGGCCUUCGGGUCGUAAAGCGCUUUUCUGGAGGACGAGGAAGGACGGUACUCCAGGAAGAAGGCUCGGCUAACUACGUGCCAGCAGCCGCGGUAAAACGUAGGAGCCUAGCGUUAUCCGAAUUCACUGGGCGUAAAGCGCGUGCAGGCGGUUCGGUAAGUUGGACGUGAAAUCUCCUGGCUCAACUGGGAGAGGACGUUCAAGACUGUCGGACUAGAGGACGGUAGAGGAAGGUAGAAUUCCCGGUGUAGUGGUGAAAUGCGUAGAUAUCGGGAGGAAUACCAGUG
rnacentral:rRNA from 1 species